GAGACCGGAUGUUCUGCUGCAGACGUGAGGACCGAGGCAGCGCUCCUCGGUCGGGUGCUACCGCCCAUUCAGCGCGGAAGCGAGGCUGCUCCCGGACCCGCCGCCGCCCCGUGCACGCGACGCCGCGGGAGCGUUAGGGACAGGCGGAGACGCAGUCUCCUCCUAAGGGGACGCAAAGCUGUGUGGACCCUGAAAGAGCCGGUCUUUGGAGAUGGAUCCCGAGCGGCCAAGGGGGUCUGAAUUCCGAAUGGAGCCGAGCAGGAUUUGCUGAGCGCAGGGUACACAUAAACCCUGUGUCUUCUGGAAAAAAACAAAAAAGCAAAACCGAAAGAUCCCAGGAUGUGUUCUCAACUACUCUAUCCAGGAAUGCAGUGGCCAUGAAGACUCCACAGAUGGAAAAUACAGAGUAUGGAGCCAAGAGUCUGGUGUGUGUUGAAUUCUUUCAGCAUCAGCCCAGUUGAUUCUGGAGAGCAUUUACUGGAAGGGCCUGCAGCUGUGACUCCUUCUUCUGUCCUUUGAGAUGUCUUUGCACCUCCUGUAAUCCUCGAGUGUCUUUCUCCAGGACCUAGGAGCCAUGCCUUUGAAAUGGGAUCCUCAGGAAGGGUGGGCCCCUAUCUCCCAGUCUCAUGGGAGGGUAGAAUCCUGGCUUGGACAGUUGCCAGCUAGCAGACACGACUGGCAUAAUGGCAUUUACUGACCAAGCCUCUGUCAUUCUUCAGUUGAGCCCUUUCCCCUCCCAAUACCACACCCUCCUUUAGAGUGCCCUUUCCCCAACUGCAGCAGUUACUGAAUAAAAUCUGUUUUCACUGCUUUAA